UACGAAGGGGGCUAGCGUUGCUCGGAAUUACUGGGCGUAAAGGGCGCGUAGGCGGAUAUUUAAGUUAGAGGUGAAAGCCCAGGGCUCAACCCUGGAAUAGCCUUUAAUACUGGAUAUCUUGAGUUCGGGAGAGGUGAGUGGAAUGCCGAGUGUAGAGGUGAAAUUCGUAGAUAUUCGGCGGAACUCCAGUGGCGCAAGGUCGAACUCACUUGGCCCGAGUACU
rnacentral:rRNA from 1 species